rnacentral:rRNA from 1 species
AUACGGAGGGUGCGAGCGUUAAUCGGAAUCACUGGGCGUAAAGGACGCGUAGGCGGGUUGGCAAGUCAGAUGUGAAAUCCUACAGCUUAACUGUAGAACUGCAUUUGAAACUGCUAACCUAGAGUAUGGGAGGGGGAGAUGGAAUUAGUGGUGUAGGGGUAAAAUCCGUAGAUAUCACUAGGAAUACCGAAAGCGAAGGCGAUCUCCUGGAACAUAACUGACGCUAAGGCGUGAAAGCGUGGGGAGCAAACAGGAUUAGAUACCCUAGUAGUCC